rnacentral:rRNA from 1 species
CGGUGGAGCAUGUGGUUUAAUUCGAUGAUACGCGAGGAACCUUACCUGGGCUCAAAUGUAUGUUGACGUAUCUGAAAGGGAUACUUCUUCGGACAAUAUACAAGGUGCUGCAUGGUUGUCGUCAGCUCGUGCCGUGAGGUGUCGGGUUAAGUCCCAUAACGAGCGCAACCCCUAUCAUUAGUUGCUACCAGGUAAUGCUGGGCACUCUGGUGAGACUGCCCCGGUUAACGGGGAGGAAGGUGGGGACGACGUCAAGUCAUCAUGGCCCUUACGCCUAGGGCUACACACGUACUACAAUGGCGCAUACAAAGGGCAGCGAUACCGCGAGGUGGAGCCAAUCCCAAAAAGUGCGUCCCAGUCCGGAUUGCAGUCUGCAACUCGACUGCAUGAAGUUGGAAUCGCUAGUAAUUCGAGAUCAGCAUGCUCGGGUGAAUGCGUUCCCGGGCCUU